rnacentral:rRNA from 1 species
UACGGAGGGGGCGAGCGUUGUCCGAAGUUACUGGGCGUAAAGCGUGCGCAGGCGGUUUUGUAAGCCAGAUGUGAAAUCCCCGGGCUUAACCUGGGAAUGGCAUUUGGGACUGCAAGGCUGGAGUACGGCAGAGGAGACUGGAAUUCCUGGUGUAGCAGUGAAAUGCGUAGAGAUCAGGAGGAAUACCGAUGGCGAAGGCAGGUCUCUGGGCUGAUACUGACGCUGAGGAGCGAAAGCGUGGGGAGCGAACAGG